AACUUGUUGCAAUGUAUCUCGUGGUUCUGGCAUCGAUUAAGAACGCAGCGAAAUGCGAUAAGUAAUGCGAAUUGCAGAAUUCAGUGAGUCAUCGAAUCUUUGAACGCACAUUGCGCCCUUUAGUAUUCUGAAGGGCAUGCCUGUUCGAGCGUCAUUAUCACUAAUCAAGCCUGGCUUGCUGUUGGGUCUCUUGUCGUUGAAACCGGCAGGCCCUAAAGAUAAUGACGGCGUUACUUGGACCCUAGAUGCAACGAGCUUUCAUUAGCACGCGUUUAGUCGGACCUUUUAACCCGGUCUUUUUAACCAAUUUUCUUAAGGUUGACCUCGGAUCAGGUAGGAAUACCCGCUGAACUUAAGCAUAUCGAUAAGCGGAGGCU
rnacentral:misc_RNA from 1 species